AGAUUGAACGCUGGCGGCAUGCCUUACACAUGCAAGUCGAACGGUAGAGUAGCAAUACUCGAGAGUGGCGAACGGGUGAGUAAUAUAUCGGAACGUGCCCUGUCGUGGGGAUAACGUAGAGAAAUUUACGCUAAUACCGCAUACGAUCUACGGAUGAAAGCGGGGAUUCGCAAGAACCUCGCGCGAUUGGAGCGGCUGAUAGUCAGAGUUAGGUUGUUGGUGAAGGUAAAAGCUCACCGAAGCCGACGAUCUGUAGCUGGUUUGAGAGAACGACCAGCCACACUGGACUGACGACACGGCCAGCUCC
rnacentral:rRNA from 1 species